UACGUAGGCAGCGAGCGUUGUUCGGAGUUACUGGGCGUAAAGGGUGUGUAGGCGGUUAUUUAAGUUUGGUGUGAAAUCUCCCGGCUCAACCGGGAGGGUGCGCCGAAUACUGAAUGACUUGGAGUGCGGGAGAGGUGAGUGGAAUUCCUGGUGUAGCGGUGAAAUGCGUAGAUAUCAGGAGGAACACCGGUGGUGUAGACGGCUCACUGGACCGUAACUGACGCUGAGACACGAAAGCGUGGGUAGCAAACAGGAUUAGAUACCCUGGUAGUCCACGCCCUAAACGAUGCAUAUUUGGUGUGGGCAGUUCAUUCUGUCCGUGCCGGAGCUAACGCGUUAAAUAUGCCGCCUGGGGAGUACAGUCGCAAGGCUGAA
rnacentral:rRNA from 1 species